GCUGUCGGGGUGAGAGUGGCGAACGGGUGAGUAAUGCGUGACCAACCUGCCCUGUGCACCGGAAUAGCUCCUGGAAACGGGUGGUAAUACCGGAUGCUCCGCUCCAUCGCAUGGUGGGGUGGGAAAUGCUUUUGCGGCAUGGGAUGGGGUCGCGUCCUAUCAGCUUGUUGGCGGGGUGAUGGCCCACCAAGGCGUUGACGGGUAGCCGGCCUGAGAGGGUGACCGGCCACAUUGGGACUGAGAUACGGCCCAGACUCCUACGGGAGGCAGCAGUGGGGAAUAUUGCACAAUGGGCGCAAGCCUGAUGCAGCGACGCCGCGUGCGGGAUGGAGGCCUUCGGGUUGUAAACCGCUUUUGUUCAAGGGCAAGGCACGGUUUCGGCCGUGUUGAGUGGAUUGUUCGAAUAAGCACCGGCUAACUACGUGCCAGCAGCCGCGGUAAUACGUAGGGUGCAAGCGUUAUCCGGAUUUAUUGGGCGUAAAGGGCUCGUAGGCGGUUCGUCGCGUCCGGUGUGAAAGUCCAUCGCCUAACGGUGGAUCUGCGCCGGGUACGGGCGGGCUGGAGUGCGGUAGGGGAGACUGGAAUUCCCGGUGUAACGGUGGAAUGUGUAGAUAUCGGGAAGAACACCAAUGGCGAAGGCAGGUCUCUGGGCCGUCACUGACGCUGAGGAGCGAAAGCGUGGGGAGCGAACAGGAUUAGAUACCCUGGUAGUCCACGCCGUAAACGGUGGAUGCUGGAUGUGGGGCCCUUUCCACGGGUCCCGUGUCGGAGCCAACGCGUUAAGCAUCCCGCCUGGGGAGUACGGCCGCAAGGCUAAAACUCAAAGAAAUUGACGGGGGCCCGCACAAGCGGCGGAGCAUGCGGAUUAAUUCGAUGCAACGCGAAGAACCUUACCUGGGCUUGACAUGUUCCCGACAGCCCCAGAGAUGGGGCCUCCCUUCGGGGCGGGUUCACAGGUGGUGCAUGGUCGUCGUCAGCUCGUGUCGUGAGAUGUU
rnacentral:rRNA from 1 species